UUUUUAUUUCCAGGAUUGACUCUUUUUGUUUUUGCUCUCUGACUUGAUUUGUUUUUCAACAGGUCUACCCAAGUUCCAUUUCUAUUGAAGGAACAUUGGGAAAUUUCAGACUUCGUGAUAUGUCUCUUGGUGCAGAUCACUGUUGGGGUUGGCUUUGUGAUAUACGCAAUCCUGGGGUUGAAUCCCUUAUCAAGUUCAAAUUUGACUCUUAUAAUGCUGAAGAUGACGAUUAUGACGGAUAUGACUACAGCUUGUCUGGUCGGCUUUCAGGUGUUCGCAUUGUUUUCCUCUAUAGGUUUGUCCAGGAGAUAUCUGCUUACUUCAUGGAACUUGCUACCCCACAUUCUGAAGAAGUUAUAAAACUUGUUGAUAAAGUUGGAGGCUUUGAGUGGUUAAUUAAAAAAUAUGAGAUGGAUGGAGCUACUGCAUUGAAGCUGGACCUCUCGCUUGACACUCCUAUAAUUAUUGUUCCUAGGAAUUCAUUGAGCAAAGAUUUCAUUCAACUUGAUUUGGGCCACCUAAAGGUGACAAAUGAAAUAAAUUGGCAUGGAAGCUCAGAGAAGGAUCCUUCAGCUGUCCAUAUUGAUGUUCUUCAUGCUGAGAUUAUGGGGAUCAACAUGUCUGUAGGAAUCAAUGGUUCUGUCGGUAAACCAAUGAUACAGGAUGGGCAAGGACUUGAUAUUUUUGUUCGUCGGAGUUUGAGGGAUGUUUUCAGGAAAGUCCCAACAUUUUCUCUCGAAGUUAAGGUGGGUUCAUUGCAUGGUGUGAUGUCUGACAAAGAAUAUGAUGUUAUUUUAAAUUGUACAUUUAUGAAUUUAAAUGAAGCACCCAAUCUUCCUCCAAGUUUUCGUGGCAGCAAGUCUGAUUCCAAUGACACAAUGCGCUUGUUGGUCCAUAAGUUCAAUUUGAAUAGUCAGAUGCUACUGUCCCAUAGUGUUACCAUAAUAGCAGUUGAAGUUGACUAUGCCCUCUUGGAGCUGUGCACUGGCAUUAUUGAGGAGUCACCUUUAGCUCAUGUUGCUCUGGAAGGACUUUGGGUGUCAUAUCGGAUGACUUCAUCAUCUGAAAUAGAUCUCUAUGUUACAAUUCCUAAGUUUUCAAUCAUGGACAUUCGCCCUAGUACAAAACCUGAAAUGCGUCUGAUGCUUGGAUCAUCCACUGAUGCUUCCAAGCAACCUUCUAGCGGAAAAUCACCCCUUUUCUUAAAUGAGGGAAGUUUUAAGAGACCAAAUUCUGAAGUCGGCCUGGACAUAGAUGUACCUGUUUCGACAAUGUUCUUGAUGGACUACAGAUGGCGAGCAUCCUCUCAGUCAUAUGUGGUUUGGGUUCAGCAGCCUCGUGUCCUGGUUGUUCCAGAUUUCCUACUCGCUAUUGGUGAGUUUUUUGUGCCAGCUUUGGGAGCAAUAAUUGGAAGAGAUGAAACAAUGGAUCCUAAGAAUGACCCUAUAAGUAGAAACAAUAGCAUAGUACUCUCUGGACCUGUUUACACGCAGAGUGAAGAUGUGGUGCAUUUGUCUCCUGGUAGACAGUUAAUCGCUGAUGCUGUUGGUGUGGAUGAAUAUACAUAUGAUGGUUGUGGAAAGAUUAUCUGUUUAAGUGAAGAGAAACAUAUGAAGGAUUUCCAGUUAGCAAAAUAUUGACCAAUUAUAAUCAUUGGACGUGGCAAGAGAUUGCGGUUUGUAAAUGUCAAAAUUGAGAAUGGUUCCCUUAUAAGGAGGUAUACCUACUUGAGUAAUGAUAGCAGCUACUCGGUUGCAGUAGAAAAUGGUGUUGACAUCUUGGUUCUGGAUAAUGUGUCAUCUGAUGAUGACAAGAAGGAUCUGGAU